rnacentral:rRNA from 1 species
UGAAACACCUCUCUUUUAAGUUUUUAAGUCUCUAGCCUCGCCCAUUAUCUGGGCGGGUAACAAGGUCUGGCGGGCAGUUUAACUGGGGCGGUUGCCUCCAAAAGAGUAACGGAGGCGUACAAAGGUACACUUGUCUCCAAUGGCAACGGAGAAUAAAGCGCAAAAGCAGAGAGUGUGCUUGAUAGUGAGACCCACAAGUCGAACUAGUGCGAAAGCAGGUUUUAGUGAUCCCUACUUUGCUUAUGGGAGCGAGUAGGCUUAUCGGAUAAAAGCUACCCCGGGGAUAACAGGCUAGUGAUACCCAACAGUCCACAAGGACGGUAUCGUUCGGCACCUCGAUGUCGGCUUAACCUUAUAUAAAGGUUUGGGUCCUCUAGUGAGAAAUUAUUAGAGCAAAUUGGCUAAUAACGGUGAACUCCUACUUGAUUUCGGGUAACCUUUGGGUUAUCUUGGAAUUAAGGGACAAUACCGUGGGAAGUCAGUUAGUAUGGAGGUUAGAUGUUAGAGGUCGGAAGAUGGAUAAAGAGAUUGGAAGUUUGAAGUUGGUAAAGUACAAUCUAUCUAGUGAUCCAAAGUUUUAAAGAUCUAAAAGUAUACCAGGAAUCGUAUGAAUUGGCUGUUUUAAUUAACAGAUCGAUUUUAAGAUUGCCAAACAGUGAGAAGUAUGAUCUGGUAGACCAGAUGCGCAGAGCAUCGAAGUCUAUACCAGCUAAUAUCGCUGAAGGGUAUGCCAAAAGAUUGUCUGAGAAAGAGUUUAAGAGAUAUCUUUUAUCAGCAACCGGAUCAUGUAAUGAAAUGUUUGUACACAUCAGUUUUGCAAAAGAUUUAGGUUUUUGGAAACCUGAAUUCUGUGAGGAUUUACUAAAACGAUAUGAUAUCGUUGGUAAACAACUCACCAGGCUAUGGCAGAACUGGAAAACCUAUCCAACAUCAAACAUCUAAAUUCAUAAUCUAUUUUCUAAUUUCUAACAUCUAACUUCUCUCUAACUUGACCCCGUAACGACUUGAUUUCAGAAGCAAUUUUUAGCGUAUCAGAUAUUGCUUAAUAAACUGAGACUAAAUAAGGGUACUAGAUAAUCUAGGUUUAAACUUUAUUUAUAUGCCAACCCCCUACCCGUACGGGAGGGGGAAGAUAUAGUCUACACUUGUAGGAAUACAAGAAUGAUGUGCAUCACAUCCUGCGGCUGAAGAAGGUCGCAAGGGUCGGGCUGUUCGCCCGUUAAAGUGGUACGCGAGCUGGGUUCAGAGCGGCGUAAGCCAGCUCGGACUCUAUCCAGUAUGGGCGUUUGGAUUCUUGAGGGAAGUUGUCUCUAGUAAACACGUUUGCCGUUUACAACGGUAAAGCAAUUUGCUACUUGGUCGAGAAAUCGAUCAUGACAAUUCGGCUAAUAACGGUGAAGCCCUCUUGAUUUUGGGUUUUAUUUGGUUCUAUAAUAAACUCAAUAGAAAAAAUCAAUGGGUAAUACCGUGGGAAGACGGUUGAUAGAAAUUAGAUGUUAGAGGUUGGAGGAUAGAUAAAGAAGUUAGAAAUUGGAGAUUGGAAAAUCCAACUUCUAUCUUCUAACAUCCUAUUCCAGCUUCUAAUUUCAAACAUCAAACUUCUAACAAUUUGUCCCUGUAACGACUUAUAUGGAAGGUACCGGAUAAUCCGGAGCAUAAACUUCCAUUACAUGCCGACUCCGUAACACUUAGGGUGACGGAGAAGAUAUAGUCUGAUCCUCAGCGAAAGCUGAGAAAACAUAAUGACGAGAGGACCGAGAUGAGGAAACCUCUAGUGUGCCGGUUGUACCAAAAGUGCAGCGCCGGGUAGCUACGUUUCUUCCUGAUAAGCGCUGAAAGCAUCUAAGCACGAAGCAGAUCCCAAGAUUAGGAAUCCUUAAGCAGAGC